GACUCGAUUUUACAGACGAUCUUAUUGUAUGAGAUAUAAUAAAAUAGUUUAGAUUAAAAAUUAUUUCGAGAUCUAAACUUAAAUUUAUGUAUAUAAUGCACUUAAUUAAGAAUUAAGAUUUAAAAUUAUAAGAUCUAAAAUUAUAAAUUUAAGAUUUAAAUUUCAAUACAUAAAACAUGGGCUUCGGAUAUGGGUUGAACAAAGUAGGUUAAACUAUAGACUCGGGCU
rnacentral:lncRNA from 1 species